UAGCUCGCAGCAUGAAGGAAUCCCUAAACUCAAUUCCAAAGCAUUAAUAAUUGGCAUAGUGGAAAAUAUUUUACUCUUUUCAAUUGACAAAGCUCAACUGUUUGCUCCAUUUUGCUUUAGUAGCCAAAUAAUGCCAGUGCUUCUCUCUCACUCAUCUAUCCACUCCUCUCUUCACUUUUAGCCGCUCAAAACCACCGUCGCAGCCACCCUUCCUCCGCCGCGAGCUCAGCCACCCUCAUCCAACAACAUAUUUUCUUCUGGGUUGACUUGAAAAUCUGUCUUUUUCUCUGAAAAUCCCCAAUUUUAUAAAUUGGAAAUCAGGUAAUUCUUGACUUAUUCAUCUCUUGUUCACACUGUGCCUAUUUUUAAUUGAUUAUUAAUUAGUUAAUUACUACUAUGUUUAUGCGUAAAUUGCCGCAAAAUACAUAAAAUUUAGACGGAUUUUGAUUUUGCUCGCAAUCUUUAAAAUUUGAAAUAAAAUACACUAAAUUUUAAUUUUUUUCUGAAAAAUAGGCUUUGAUAUAGAUAGAAUUACCCGAGUAAGAGAUGUUUAAUUCGAGCUUCUUUUAGUCUUUAUGAAGGAUUUAAUUGGACUCUCAGGAAACUAGAUUUUGGUUUUGAAUAAUGACAGAAUUUGACGAAAAGAUGGGUUUUUUUGGGUCCAUGAAUGAAUAAUACAAAAUAAAAUUAAUAUUAAAUUUUCGAUUUAAAAAAAAUAAAAAAAAUUAGCUAGUUUUAAAAUUUUGUUCACAUUGUAGCUGUCUUUAUUUUUAAUUAAGUAAAUCCUUUUUUAUUUUGAGCCAAAAUUUUUAAAUUAAUCGAUUUUUUAUAUAUUUGACCAUUUUAUAUAUGAACAUAUUAUGUCCAAAUAGCAAUCUUGAUACCUUUAACCUCAAACAUUAAUUAUAUUCUACUAUUAGAUCAAUACACAUAUAAACUAAUUAGUGCAGUGACGACUUCUGUAUCAAAUUCAAGUUUAAAUA
rnacentral:lncRNA from 1 species